AGACCAAAGAUCCCGCCGGGGAGGGAGCCGCUGCCUCCUCUUGCCUUCGAACCUCGGUGGCUGGGGUGACUCGUUCUCCCCGCGGCCUCUUGAGGAUGAGGUGCAGUCUCUUCCCAGGCUCCACGAGUUUUCGGGGCUCAAAGAAACACCAGCAGCGUCCCGGGAGGAGAAAGAGGGUCCCCCGUCCUUUGGGGCCGCGCGGGACCCGGCUGCGGGGGCUGGACUCCCCGCUACCCAUUUCCGAAAAGUCGCCGCAGAUUUUCGGCCACCAGAAGCCGCCUAGUGCAAGGCAAGCGUCGGAGUUUGGAGAGGCCUGGGCAGGUGUGACCGGGUGGUGCAGAGGCUUCUCAAGAAAGGGGCAGCUUUUUUGCGGGGUGUGUGUGUGUGGGGGAAGCUUUCGUCCGAAAUUUAGCUCUGCUGGGGCUUGGGAUAUUUGCUUUUCCUCCCCAACGUCUGCUUUAUUCUCUUCCAAAGAGCAUGUUCUGUUGCCGGAUUCUGGGCAUUUUCCGACCUCGUCAAAAAGGAUAUGCCGGGAAAGGAACAUGCAGAUAGUUUAA
rnacentral:lncRNA from 1 species